AGGACGAACGCUGGCGGCGUGCUUAACACAUGCAAGUCGAGGGGGCUCAGCAAUGGGUCACCGGCGAACGGGUGCGUAACACGUGAGCAACCUGCCGCAGAGUGGGGGGAUAGCCGGCCCAACGGCCGGGUAAUACCGCAUACGAUCGUAUCGGGACAUCCCGUAACGAUGAAAGAUUUAUCGCUCUGUGAGGGGCUCGCGGCCUAUCAGCUAGUUGGCGAGGUAACGGCUCGCCAAGGCGACGACGGGUAGCUGGUCUGAGAGGAUGGCCAGCCACAUUGGGACUGCGACACGGCCCAGACUCCUACGGGAGGCAGCAGUGGGAAUCUUGCGCAAUGGGCGAAAGCCUGACGCAGCGACGCCGCAGUGGGGGAGGAAGGUUUCGGAUCGUAAACCCCUGUUGCCCGGACGAAUCCACCGAUUCAUCGUGUUGACGGUACCGGUGAGGAAGCCACCGGCUAACUCCGUGCCAGCAGCCGCGGU
rnacentral:rRNA from 1 species